AGGAUGAACGCUGGCGGCGUGCCUAACACAUGCAAGUCGAACGGAGUUACUUUGGUGAAGUUUUCGGAUGGAUCUGAUUUAACUAGUGGCGGACGGGUGAGUAAUGCGUGAGCAACCUGCCCUUCANAGGGGGGACAACAGUUGGAAACGACUGCUAAUACCGCAUAAUGUAUUCGGAAGGCAUCUUCUGGAUACCAAAGGAGAAAUCCGCUGAGGGAUGGGCUCACGUCUGAUUAGUUAGUUGGUGAGGUAACGGGCUCACCAAGACUGCGAUCAGUAGCCGGACUGAGAGGUUGAACGGCCACAUUGGGACUGAGAUACGGCCCAGACUCCUACGGGAGGCAGCAGUGGGGAAUAUUGGGCAAUGGGGGAAACCCUGACCCAGCAACGCCGCGUGAAGGAAGAAGGCUUUCGGGUUGUAAACUUCUUUUACCAGGGACGAAGAAAGUGACGGUACCUGGAGAAAAAGCCACGGCUAACUACGUG
rnacentral:rRNA from 1 species